UUCCUGCAGGUUGGUGCUUGAAUGAGGGGAGCCAGGACCCAGACUGAGUCACAGUCAUCCUUUCCCUUUGUCACACCACAAUUUGCCUAAUGCUGAUUCACUGAUCAUCAGCCCAUCCCUCAGGGACAACCUAGCCUUCAUCAGAUGGCCAGAGGUGGGAGCUGGUAAAGAGGAUGUGUCUCAUGCAGCUUGCAGCAAGGUCCUACCCCCUGGCAGUGUGGUGGCAGCACAUGGAUCAGCCAUAAGACAGAUUGGGUCUCUGCUCCUUGUCCUUCUGCUUGAGAUAUUGCCACGUGGAACUUGGAGCCAUUGUAGCCAUUUUGCUACCAAGAGGGAAGACAGGGGCAGCCCUGAAGAAGGCGGAAAGAGAUUAUGGACGUGCUCAUGCCCUCAGUGAUCUCUCGGAACCACCGUACCAAUCCUGGAAUCACCUCCCUCUGAUCUGCGGGUGCUUUGGACAAGAGUCUGAGAAGGGGAACCCUCGAGGAGAUGAUGGAGGAGAAGAGACAGGAGGUGGAGGCAAAGAAAUGAGAAAUAAAGGCCUGAGGAAGGGGCCCGGGGGCCUUC